rnacentral:lncRNA from 1 species
UGAUAAGGAGAUACUGGAAAAUCAGUGGACCAGAGGAGAUGAGGCCAUAAGAAGCUUCAUUGGUACAUGGUUCCAGAUGAGCAAGGAAGAUGUAGACACUUGUCUUCCCACAAGUAGUCAUCCACCUCCCUACUGGCCAACCUACUUCCAAAUUUAAGCUAAAUGAGUAUAACAAAGCGUUGAGUGGGAGGCAACCCACUAUUAGGUAAUUUUACUUAGUUUUAUUUCGAAAUAGUUACUUAUUUUCGCAUUUAACUUAUUGCAGGUCCAAAAAAAAGACCCAAGGAGACGAUUUCUCAGUCUAUCGAUCGAUGAGACCAUAUCGACAUCGAUCGACAGUACCACACCAGAAUCGACCAACAAACACUCACACACGUCGAUCGACAAUCAACAUCAGCGAGCAGGUAUAUCGUUCUAUGAUAUAUAUACGUGUUUUUAAAUACGUUAUAGUUGUUUUGGAGUAUUUUUCAUAUGUUUUCAGGUUUAGGUACGUUUUGGAGGAAAGUGAUGAUUUUGGGGUCUUUUAGAGCCUUUGGAGUGCAGAAUUGGAGUGCAGAAUUGCACAGAUGUGUCAGAUGUUUAGAUAUGGAUGGAGACCUUCCCACGAUG